UACGUAGGGUGCGAGCGUUGUCCGGAUUUAUUGGGCGUAAAGGGCUCGUAGGCGGCUUGUCGCGUCGGGAGUGAAAGCCCGCUGCUUAACGGCGGGUUUGCUUUCGGUACGGGCUGGCUGGAGUGCGGCAGGGGAGACUGGAAUUCCUGGUGUAGCGGUGGAAUGCGCAGAUAUCAGGAGGAACACCGGUGGCGAAGGCGGGUCUCUGGGCCGUUACUGACGCUGAGGAGCGAAAGCGUGGGGAGCAAACAGG
rnacentral:rRNA from 1 species